CGUGAGAAUGGAAUCGAAGUUAUGGACAAGAAUGGCAAGGUCAUAGGAGUGUCACAAAAAGCUGGGAAUAAGGCAGUACAAGACACAGCUUUAUCAAGAGCAGCCUUGUUUGGGGCAGCAGUAAUUAUUCCGGAUUCUCUUCUCAACUUCGUGCAACGGUAAGAGGUUCUACUACUGGGGUGUGUGGCUGUUAAGUUCUGGGGUGCAGCGCAGACCAGUGAGAGGUUGU
rnacentral:lncRNA from 1 species